rfam:Hordeum vulgare subsp. vulgare, WGS project CAJW01000000 data, contig: morex_contig_5876
UUAUUACUCCCUCCGUUCGGAAUUUACUUGUCGCACAAAUGUAUAAAAAUGGAUGUAUCUAGAACUAAAAUACAUAUAGAUACAUCCAUUCCUAUGACAAGUAUUUCCGUACGGAGGGAGUACUAU